rnacentral:rRNA from 1 species
UACAGAGGGGGCAAGCGUUGUUCGGAAUUACUGGGCGUAAAGGGCGCGUAGGCGGCCUCUUAAGUCGAACGUGAAAUCCCCGGGCUCAACCCGGGAACUGCGUCCGAUACUGGGAGGCUUGAAUCCGGGAGAGGGAUGUGGAAUUCCCGGUGUAGCGGUGAAAUGCGUAGAUAUCGGGAGGAACAUCAGUGGCGAAGGCGGCCUUCUGGUCCAGUACUGACACU